UACAGAGGGGGCAAGCGUUGUUCGGAAUUACUGGGCGUAAAGGGCGCGUAGGCGGCCUGUUAAGUCGAACGUGAAAUCCCCGGGCUCAACCCGGGAACUGCGUCCGAUACCGGCAGGCUUGAAUUCGGGAGAGGGAUGCGGAAUUCCAGGUGUAGCGGUGAAAUGCGUAGAUAUCUGGAGGAACACCGGUGGCGAAGGCGGCAUCCUGGACCGAGAUUGACGCUGAGGCGCGAAAGCCAGGGGAGCAAACGGG
rnacentral:rRNA from 1 species